AGUGAACGCUGGCGGUAGGCCUAACACAUGCAAGUCGAACGGCAGCACAGUAAGAGCUUGCUCUUACGGGUGGCGAGUGGCGGACGGGUGAGGAAUACAUCGGAAUCUACUUUUUCGUGGGGGAUAACGUAGGGAAACUUACGUUAAUACCGCAUACGACCUACGGGUGAAAGCAGGGGAUCUUCGGACCUUGCGCGAUUGAAUGAGCCGAUGUCGGAUUAGCUAGUUGGCGGGGUAAAGGCCCACCAAGGCGACGAUCCGUAGCUGGUCUUAGAGGAUGAUCAGCCACACUGGAACUGGGACACGGUCCAGACUCCUACGGGGGGCAGCAGUGGGGAAUAUUGGACAAUGGGCGCAAGCCUGAUCCAGCCAUACCGCGUGGGUGAAGAAGGCCUUCGGGUUGUAAAGCCCUUUUGUUGGGAAAGAAAAGCAGCAGGUUAAUACCCCGCUGUUCUGACGGUACCCAAAGAAUAAGCACCGGCUAACUUCGUG
rnacentral:rRNA from 1 species